UACGUAGGGGGCAAGCGUUGUCCGGAUUUAUUGGGCGGAAAGGGCGCGUAGGCGGCGGGGCAAGUCGGGUGUGAAAUCUCAGGGCUCAACCCUGAAACUGCACUCGAUACUGCUCUGCUUGAGGACUGGAGAGGAGACUGGAAUUCACGGUGUAGCAGUGAAAUGCGUAGAUAUCGUGAGGAAGACCAGUGGCGAAGGCGGGUCUCUGGACAGUUCCUGACGCUGAGGCGCGAAGGCCAGGGGAGCAAACGGG
rnacentral:rRNA from 1 species